ensembl:misc_RNA Metazoa_SRP Metazoan signal recognition particle RNA
GCCAGGCACAGUGGCAUGUGCUUGUAUUCCCAGCUACCUGGGAGGCUGAAGUGGGAGGCUUGAGCCCAGGAGUUCUGGGCUGUAGUGCGCUAUGCUGAUUGGGUGUUUGCACUAAGUUCGGCAUCAAUAUGGUGACCUCCUGGGAGUGGGGGACCACCAGGUUGCCUAAGGAGGGGUAAACCGGCCCAGGUCAGAAAUGGAGCAGGUCAAAACUCCCGUGCUGAUUGGUAUUGGGAUCACACCUGUGAAUAGCCACUGCACUCCAGCCUGGGCAACAUAGUGAGACUCUGUCUCUG